rnacentral:lncRNA from 1 species
AUGGAAGGCAAACCAUUGGUGAAACAGGUAAAGUAGUGGGUGGGGUCCCACCAAUGUGGUGUGCACAGCCUUCAGCAGUCACAUCCUGGAGAUGGUGACCCAGUUCAGGAAGGUGGGUACGCUGAUCUCCCUAGAGCCCAGAAAUGUAGCCUCAGUGACAUCAACAAACCAGUACUCACCACAAAAUCUCCUUCUCAGCCAGGAUAAGCCUCUCAUCCAUGUCUUUGCAAAGAAACUGGUGCAUUUGUGUCUCAAGAAGCCAGAAACAAAGUGGUCCUCCCAGCUAUGGCCAUGAAUAACAAAAGCAUGGAGUGAAUGAAGGUCUUGAAGGAGGUGAUCUGGGUGUGCCAGGUGUGGUGA